rnacentral:misc_RNA from 1 species
CCGUACGGUCUUGAGUGCCGGGACCUUAACCAUAUGAUUCUGAUCUACGAUAGGGGUAUUCCCAGUGGUAUGUUUAUUUCAUUUUCCGGAAUGCUUCACCCAGGCCUUCAAAUGUAGAUUCUUCCAAAGAUAGACUGACUAAUAGGUCUGUUCGGAUUCGGAUUGGAGGUCUUGAAAGAAAGAAACUGGUCAUUGCUUUACUAAUAGCUAUUAGUAAAGCAAUGACCAGUUUCUUUCUUUCAAGACCUCCAAUCCGAAUCCGAACAGACCUAUUAGUCAGUCUAUCUUUGGAAGAAUCUACAUUUGAAGGCCUGGGUGAAGCAUUCCGGAAAAUGAAAUAAACAUACCACUGGGAAUACCCCUAUCGUAGAUCAGAAUCAUAUGGUUAAGGUCCCGGCACUCAAGACCGUACGG